rnacentral:misc_RNA from 1 species
GAUGAAGAACGUAGCGAAAUGCGAUAAGUAAUGUGAAUUGCAGAAUUCAGUGAAUCAUCGAACCUUUGAACGCACAUUGCGCCCGUCAGUAUUCUGGCGGGCAUGCCUGUUCGAGCGUCAUUACGCCCCUCAAGUCCCCUGUGGACUUGGUGUUGGGGAUCGGCGAGGCUGGUUUUCCAGCACAGCCGUCCCUUAAAUUAAUUGGCGGUCUCGCCGUGGCCCUCCUCUGCGCAGUAGUAAAACACUCGCAACAGGAGCCCGGCGCGGUCCACUGCCGUAAAACCCCCCAACUUUUUAUAGAUGACCUCGAAUCAGGUAGGACUACCCGCUGAACUUAAGCAUAUCAAUAAGCGGAGGA